UACAGAGGGGGCAAGCGUUGUUCGGAAUUACUGGGCGUAAAGGGCUCGUAGGCGGCCAACUAAGUCAGACGUGAAAUCCCUCAGCUUAACUGGGGAACUGCGUCUGAUACUGGAUGGCUUGGAUUUGGGAGAGGGAUGCGGAAUUCCAGGUGUAGCGGUGAAAUGCGUAGAUAUCUGGAGGAACACCGGUGGCGAAGGCGGCAUCCUGGACCAACAUUGACGCUGAGGAGCGAAAGCCAGGGGAGCAAACGGG
rnacentral:rRNA from 1 species